AUGGCCUGGGCUCCUCUCCUGCUCCUACUUCUGGCUCACUGUACAGGGUCCCUCUCUCAGCCUGUCCUGACUCAGUCACCUUCUGCAUCUGCCACCCUCAAAAGCUCAGUAAAGCUCACUUGUACCCUGAGCAGUGGCUAUGAUAGAUAUAAUGUGGACUGGUACCAGCAGAGCCCAGGAAAAGGCAUCCGGUAUAUGAUGCGUGUGGGCCCCCGUGGUCUGGUAGGAUCCAAGGGAGAUGGGAUCCCUGAUCGCUUCUCAGGCUCAGGUUCGGGCCUGGAUCGGUUCCUGACUAUCCAGAACCUCCUGGAAGAGGAUGAGGCUGACUACUACUGUGGGGCUGAUCAUGGCAGUGGGAGUAGCUAUGUUUACCACAGUGACACAGGCAGAGGAGAAGUGAGGCAAAAACCAUCCCUGUGUAUCACAUGCAUUUAG